rnacentral:tRNA from 1 species
UCCUGGUGGCUCAGAGGCUAAAGCAUCUGCCUGCAAUGUAGGAGACCUGGGUUCAAUCCCUAGGUCAGGAA